UACGGAAUGUGCAAACGUUAUUCGGAAUCACUGGGCUUAAAGAGUCCGUAGGCGGCAUGUUAGGUGAGGUGUGAAAUCCCCCGGCUCAACCGAGGAAUUGCGCUUCAAACCGGCGUGCUUGAGGAAGAUAGAGGUGGGCGGAACUGAUGGUGGAGCGGUGAAAUUCGUAGAUAUCGGGAGGAACACCGGUGGCGAAGGCGGCGACCUGGGUCGAUACUGACGCUGAUGCGCGAAAGCGUGGGGAGCAAACAGG
rnacentral:rRNA from 1 species